CACCGGGUUGAUAACUAGGCAAUGGUCUCAAAAGCUCCACGACCAACGCCCUUUAAGUGCUCGGGAGAUUGAGAUUUAUUGGCAAGGAUCUUACAUGUCCUCGGAAUUU
rfam:Pseudocercospora fijiensis CIRAD86 unplaced genomic scaffold MYCFIscaffold_2, whole genome shotgun sequence.